UACGUAGGGUGCAAGCGUUAAUCGGAAUUACUGGGCGUAAAGCGCACGUAGGCGGCUUGUAAGUUAGAGGUGAAAGCCUGGAGCUCAACUCCAGAACUGCCUUUAAGACUGCAUCGCUUGAAUCCAGGAGAGGUAAGUGGAAUUCCGAGUGUAGAGGUGAAAUUCGUAGAUAUUCGGAAGAACACCAGUGGCGAAGGCGGCUCACUGGACUGGUAUUGACGCUGAGGUGCGAAAGCGUGGGGAGCAAACAGG
rnacentral:rRNA from 1 species